UACGUAGGUGGUAAGCGUUGUGCGGCAUUUUUCGGCGUAAAGCGCGCGCAGGCGGCCACUUAAGUCUGAUGUGAAAGCCCCCGGCUCCACCGGGGAGGGCCAUGGGAAACUGGGAGGCUUGAGUAUAGGAGAGAAGAGUGGAAUUCCACGUGUAGCGGUGAAAUGCGUAGAGAUGUGGAGGAACACCAGUGGCGAAGGCGACUCUUUGGCCUAUAACUGACGCUGAGGCGCGAAGGCGUGGGGAGCAAACAGG
rnacentral:misc_RNA from 1 species